UUGUUCAGUAUUUGUAAAGCCAUGUGGGGAGGCACAUUCCCACCCUCUGCCACGCAGAGGACCAUUAAGAGGCUCUCAGUCAGCCUAGGAGUCCUGUGCAGUGUGAGGAGGCUGGGCUAUAAAAAGAUGUUCAGUUGGAGUGGAGUAGAGUGGGAGAGCAGUGAGGGUUCUGGAGAUUGGGCCCUGUAUUUGAGAUGCAGUCCUGAGAUUACCAGGCAGAAGAAGCUGUUCUCUGAAGGUAUUUUACAGGCCAGCCAAGAAAGUAACUGAAUAUACUUGCUUGGAGAAAGAAUUGAAGGCUCAGAGAAGAUGUCCAAGUCUGGUGCACCCCUGCUGCACCAGGCAUAUUAUUCUACGCUGCUGUGAAAGUGUGGCUGCCAGGG